UAAGAAAAUUAGAGUUGGAAUUUCACUUUUACAACUUUCAUUGGCUGAAUACUUAAAAAAAAAAAAAAUAGUGCGAUUGUAGAACAAAACCCAGAGACGGAAAAUCCCUCGGCUCCAAUGCACGGCUGAACGCCUCACCAACCGGUGCACGCCACCGAGCCCAGGAGGAAGACCUGGGCCAGCCGCCCCACCAGGCUCUCCCCGCGUCUCCCCCUCCCCCGAGGACCACUGUCUU
rnacentral:lncRNA from 1 species